UGCCCCGAUAUCCCAAUCGGCAGAGGAAGCGGUCUCAAACACCGUUAAGUGUGGGUUCGAGUCCCACUCGGGCAC
rnacentral:tRNA from 1 species